GCUAGGGAACUGAGGCUAAGGGAGUUAUGUGCUGUGCAUGAUGAGAACUCAAUGCUCAUUAAUGCUGUUAAUGUUUAUAAAUAAAUUAAUUAAACCAAUAGCAUUGUUUUUUAGGUUUCACUGUACAUUUUCAUACCAAUAGAAUUACACAUCAUUCUAAUUAUAGCAAUAAUAAAUUUGUACUAAUCAUACCUACAAAUUUUGUUAUGCUAUGCUUUGUGAUGUAUUAACUUCAUUGUAAGUUAUUAUUUAAAGACAAUUUUACUAAAUAUUUAAAACAAUACUUGAAUUAUUUUCUAUAUACAUUUUCAUUAUGUGCUUUAACUGUAGCUGACCAGUUGAUGGAAGAUACUGCAGAGUUUGGCAGGGAAAUAACCCAAGACAGCAAAGCGGCUCUUUUGGCGCAUUUACCAAGAGGACUAACAUGGCCACAAAUUCAUGAGAUCAUGCAGGAGCCGUACAGUAUAACAGCAGUACAAGUUCUAUAAAAGAUCCACGACCUACUGAAGCCCAGCUAAUUAACAAAAAAGUUUUUAAAAACUGUAAUUUUAUCCCACCUGGGUACUUAUAAUUUACUAAGCUGCCUUCACAAGUUUUAGACUUGCAAUUAUAUUUUAAACUGUCACUUGGAAAGUAAUACAUGUACAUGCAUUCAUGUUCUGAAUUUCUUUGAACAAUAAAAUUAUAUAAAAGUAUUUUAAUGAAAUUGAGCACCUAAAUUGCAUUAAAGUGAAAGUAGCUGAGAAAAAUAGUAUCCUUGUGCUCAUGGGCAGCUACAUAUAUUGUGACAAACAUGAAGUAGCUAAAAUAACUUAAAUUUUUCAUUUUGUUUCUUGUAUAUCGUUUGUACAGGGUUCGUGAAUUGUUACUGUAUAUUACUUGACUUGCUUGUAUUUUGUUACUUUGAAUACAUGUUGUUAAGGUUGCAUUAUACUUUUUAACUUUUAAAGUAGCGCCUGUUCUGUUAUGUAAGGGCCUGAUUUAUGAUAAUGGACCUAGAGGCUUUGUAAGCAUGUAUUAAACAACACUUGUUUGAUCUGAAUAAUUUGUUAAAUAAAUGUAACACAAUUUGUAAUCUGAUGUUAUAUUUUGAUGAAUUGUGAACAAAAUAAUACAUCGAAGAAACUAA